rnacentral:misc_RNA from 1 species
AAGAGUUGUAAAACUCCCUAAACCCAUGUGAACAUACCUGUUGCCUCGGCGGCCUACCCGGUAGCUACCCUGUAGUUACCCUGUAGUCCGCCGAAGGACUACAAAACUCUUGUUUUUUUAUAUCUCUGAGAAAACUUUUAAUAAGUCA